UGGGCGGCGGCGGCCGUCAUGGAGCGCCAAGAGGAUUCCCUGUCCGCGCGGCCGGCCCUGGAGACCGAGGGGCUGCGCUUCCUGCACAUCACGGUGGGCUCCCUGCUGGCCACCUAUGGCUGGUACAUCGUCUUCAGCUGCAUCCUUCUCUACGUGGUCUUUCAGAAGCUUUUCGCCCGGCUAAGAGCCUUGAGGCAGAGGCAGCUGGACCGAGCUGCGGCUGCUGUGGAACCUGAUGUUGUUGUUAAACGACAAGAAGCUUUAGCAGCUGCUCGAUUGAAAAUGCAAGAAGAACUAAAUGCGCAAGUUGAAAAGCAUAAGGAAAAACUGAAACAGCUUGAAGAAGAAAAAAGGAGACAGAAGAUUGAAAUGUGGGACAGCAUGCAAGAAGGAAAAAGUUACAAAGGAAAUGCAAAGAAGCCCCAGGUGACUGGAGACCUCGGCCAGCUGGCAUGCAGUAGAUGAAGAUUGCCAAGUAGAAUGUUUUAAUUGCUUCUUACACUACUGUGUGUGUUCAAACAGGAGGAAGACAGUCCUGGCCCUUCCACUUCAUCUGUCGUCCUGAAAUGGAAAUCGGACAGAAAGCCUUUGCGGGGAGGUGGUAAGCACCACUGAUGUCAAAUGUUAACGUUUUCAACACUUACAGGAUAUAGUUACCUUUUAGGAACAAGAUUGUUUGUUUCUUUGCCCAUAAAUUAAGACUAAUUCCUUAGGAUUGUGAAGAUUCAAUAAAGGAAGCAGAUGCAAAUCACCUCGUAGGUCCUCACUACGUACUUAGAAGGACUGUACUUACAGUAUUCUGACUUGAUUCUUCUGCAGCCCCGUAGAGGGAGAGCUGAGGAGGGUGAGGA
rnacentral:sRNA from 1 species